GGGCCGUUCGCUUAACAGUAAAGCGCCUCAUUCGCAUUGAGGAGAUUGCCAGUGCAAAUCUGGCACGGUCCA
rnacentral:tRNA from 1 species